UACCAUGGUGGUAACGGGUAACGGGGUGUUAGGGCACGACACCGGAGAGGGAGCCUGAGAAACGGCUACCACAUCCAAGGAAGGCAGCAGGCGCGCAAAUUACCCAAUCCCGACACGGGGAAGUAGUGACAAUAAAUAACAAUACAGGGUUCUUUAGGAUUUUGUAAUUGGAAUGAGUACAAUUUAAAUCUCUUAACGAGGAACAAUUGGAGGGCAAGUCUGGUGCCAGCAGCCGCGGUAAUUCCAGCUCCAAUAGCGUAUAUUAAAGUUGUUGCAGUUAAAAAGCUCGUAGUUGAAUUUCGGGAUCAAUACGUCGGUCGUGCUUCGGUACGUACUGGCGUCAUUGAUUUCUCCCUUCUGACGAACCAUGAUGUCAUUAACUUGGUGUCAUGGGAAAUCAGGACUGUUACUUUGAAAAAAUUAGAGUGUUUAAAGCAGGCUCACGCUUGAAUACAUUAGCAUGGAAUAAUGAAAUAGGACGUUCGAUCCUAUUUUGUUGGUUUUUAGGAUCAACGUAAUGAUUAAUAGGGAUAGUUGGGGGCAUUAGUAUUCAAUUGUCAGAGGUGGAAUUCUUGGAUUUAUUGAAGACUAACUACUGCGAAAGCAUUUGCCAAGGAUGUUUUCAUUAAUCAAGAACGAAAGUUAGGGGAUCGAAGACGAUCAGAUACCGUCGUAGUCUUAACCAUAAACUAUGCCGACUAGGGAUCGGAUGAUGUUAAUUUUUUAAUGACUCAUUCGGCGCCUUACGGGAAACCAAAGUGUUU
rnacentral:rRNA from 1 species